UACGUAGGGUGCGAGCGUUAAUCGGAAUUACUGGGCGUAAAGCGUGCGCAGGCGGUUCGUUGUGUCGGCGGUGAAAGCCCCGGGCUUAACCUGGGAAUGGCCGUUGAAACUGGCGAACUGGAGUGUGGCAGAGGGGGUGGAAUUCCGCGUGUAGCAGUGAAAUGCGUAGAGAUGCGGAGGGACACCGAUGGCGAAGGCAACCCCCUGGGCUAACACUGACGCUCAGGCACGAAAGCGUGGGGAGCAAACAGG
rnacentral:rRNA from 1 species